rnacentral:lncRNA from 1 species
UCGAUCCCUCCUCUAUCCAAAUGAGGCAGGGCUAUAAAUAAAGACUUCAAGCAUACGAGUUUCCAUGCACAACUGCAAACUCUCUCUCUCUCUCUCUCUAGAUCAAUCACUCUCUCUCUAGAAAUAAAGAAUGGUGUCGAAGGUGGGAGAAACAACAGUAGUGAAAGGGAUGAGUAAUGAAAAGAAGAUAGUUACUAAUUAUAAUAAAUGCAACAAAGGUAAAAACAGCAAAUUCAAGAGAAGCACAUCCAAUCUUGAAGACGAUGGACUCUCUGCUGCUAUUUUCUUCAUUGCUUGCAUUGCCUGCACCCCUUCCCCCGGCCCCGGCCCCCCUUCUUAUUAAUAUAUCAUUUUAAUCAAUUCCGAUAUAUAGCUAUAAAAAUUGGCUGUUAUUAUUGCUUAAUUUUAGGAGGCCAACCUUGUUACUCAUAUGAUUGUAUACUACUGUUCAAUUUGGUAGGCAGAUUAUGCUGGUGGUGAGAAUAUGGAAACAUUACAAUUUUCACCCCUCAGGUUUGCACCAAUUUCAUAUUCAGUACUCAGUGUUUACAAAAAAACACAUUUGGUCCUUCGUGUUUAAUAAAUUCAACAUUCUUAGUCGAUCUCCCCGUCAAUUUCCGGUAAUACUAACGGAAUCAAAGCGUGUCCCAAUGAAUGUCUUAACUGACGAACUAACGGUAAAGUGAUGGAAAUGAUCAAAAGUGUUUAUGAAACAUGAGGACCAAAUAUGUUUUUUUAUGAACAUGAGGACCAAAUGUAAUUUUCUCGUGAGAAUAUAUAUACAUAGAUUAUCCAUUUAUUGAUUUCUUUACUCUGAUUAUUCCAUGUAUAUAUACAUAUAUAGUUAUGUACUCUUCACAUUAUAAGUUGUUAUUGAC